rnacentral:rRNA from 1 species
ACAGAGCCCGUGAAUCCGGGCGCGCGGAAUUCAGGACCGACGGCGCGCGCGCGAGCGUGCGUCGUCGAUUCGAUAUUUCCGCCGCCGACCCGUUAUAGCGGGUGCGGACGUCGCGACCCGUUCGCCGCCGGUCUCACGGGGCGCGUUUCAAGUUCGUCGCGCGUCGUCGCCGGCGAGCGUCUCGGCGUUCGCCGGGCCUAACGACGACGACGCGGCGAUGGCGCGUUUCUUCGGGCCGGCGUUUUGCGGACGGUAGCCUCGAGCGUGCGGGUAAUCGACGCGGCCGAUCGGCGUGCGUCGUGCGGCGCCUCGCGCGUCGCGCGGCGUACGUCGGGCGCGCGCGUCGACGCCGGUCAGCGACGAAUCUUCGGGCCUCUUUCCGACCCGUCUUGAAACACGGACCAAGGAGUCUAACGUGCGCGCGAGUCGCGGGGUAUCCGAGUCGGUAACGGCGACUCGUCACGAUACGAAACCCGUGUGUACGUACGUUGUGCGAAGGCGUAAUGAAAGUGAAAGGCGCGCGCUCCCCCUUUCGGGGGGGGGCGCGCGCGUCGGGAAGACGGCGUUUCCGAGUACACGUUUCUCGGUCAUACGGUACCGAGACCGGGCGCCCGCAUUCCCAGGGCGUCCCGCUCGUACGUCGGUGAAGCGCGCGCGGCUCGUUCGCGCGCGUCCGCCGACGAACUGGGGCGCACCUCUAGCGUGCACGUUGGUACCCGAAAGAUGGUGAACUAUGCCCGGCCAGGAU